rnacentral:rRNA from 1 species
GUAGGGAAUAUUGGGCAAUGGAGGCAACUCUGACCCAGCCAUGCCGCGUGCAGGAAGAAGGUCCUCUGGAUUGUAAACUGCUUUUGAAUGGGAAGAAACGUAGUCUUGCGAGGCUAUUUGACGGUACUAUUAGAAUAAGCACCGGCUAACUCCGUGCCAGCAGCCGCGGUAAUACGGAGGGUGCAAGCGUUAUCCGGAUUUAUUGGGUUUAAAGGGUGCGUAGGCGGCUUUAUAAGUCGAUGGUUAAAGGCAGCAGCUUAACUGUAUGCAUGCCCUCGAUACUGUAGAGCUUGAGUGAUUUGGAGGUGGCUAGAAUUCCCUGUGUAGCGGUGAAAUGCAUAGAUACGGGGAGGAAUACCGAUUGCGAAGGCAUGUCACUACGAAUUAACUGACGCUGAGGCACGAAAGCGUGGGGAUCAAACAGGAUUAGAUACCCCAGUAGUCC